AAUGAACGCUGGCGGCGCGCCUAAUACAUGCAAGUCGAGCGAGAAGACGUAGCAAUACGUUUGUAAAGCGGCGAACGGGUGAGGAAUACAUGGGUAACCUACCCUCGAGUGGGGAAUAACUAGCCGAAAGGUUAGCUAAUACCGCGUACGCUUCUUGGACUUCGGUUCAGGGAGGAAAGCGAUACCGUGGGUAUCGCGCUCUUGGAUGGGCUCAUGUCCUAUCAGCUUGUUGGUGAGGUAACGGCUCACCAAGGCUUCGACGGGUAGCUGGUCUGAGAGGACGAUCAGCCACACUGGCACUGCGACACGGGCCAGACUCCUACGGGAGGCAGCAGUAAGGAAUAUUGCGCAAUGGGCGAAAGCCUGACGCAGCGACGCCGCGUGGGGGAUGAAGGUCUUCGGA
rnacentral:rRNA from 1 species